UGGGGAAUAUUGCACAAUGGGCGCAAGCCUGAUGCAGCCAUGCCGCGUGUAUGAAGAAGGCCUUCGGGUUGUAAAGUACUUUCAGCGAGGAGGAAGGCGUUGUGGUUAAUAACCGCAACGAUUGACGUUACUCGCAGAAGAAGCACCGGCUAACUCCGUGCCAGCAGCCGCGGUAAUACGGAGGGUGCAAGCGUUAAUCGGAAUUACUGGGCGUAAAGCGCACGCAGGCGGACUGUCAAGUCGGAUGUGAAAUCCCCGGGCUCAACCUGGGAACUGCAUCCGAAACUGGCAGGCUAGAGUCUUGUAGAGGGGGGUAGAAUUCCAGGUGUAGCGGUGAAAUGCGUAGAGAUCUGGAGGAAUACCGGUGGCGAAGGCGGCCCCCUGGACAAAGACUGACGCUCAGGUGCGAAAGCGUGGGGAGCAAACA
rnacentral:rRNA from 1 species